GGGUCAGUAGGUUGGUCGUGCCACCGGUACGUACUGGUCUCACUGAUUCGUCCUUCCUGAAGAACCGUAAUGCCAUUAAUUUGGUGUUGCGGGGAAACAGGACUGUUACUUUGAAAAAAUUAGAGUGUUUAAAGCAAGCUAACGCUUGAAUACAUUAGCAUGGAAUAAUGAAAUAGGACGAUCGAUCCUAUUUUGUUGGUUUCUAGGAUUGACGUA
rnacentral:rRNA from 1 species